AUUUUGUUCUAGUCCACGGGGCCGGCCAUGGGGCAUGGAGUUGGUACAAGCUCAAGCCACUGCUAGAGACCACCGGCCACCAGGUCACGGCACUCGACUUGGCGGCUUCCGGCAUCCACAUGAAGCCAAUCCAAGAAGUUCACACACUUUCUGAAUACACUCAGCCUCUGUUAGAGUUGUUGGCUUCUCUGCCACCAAAUGAAAGGGUUACCCUUGUUGGGCACAGCCUUGGAGGCCUGAAUUUGGCUCUUGCGAUGGAGAAAUUCCCUGAGAAAAUUUCUGUUGCUGUUUACUUAACAGCUUUCAUGCCGGAUACUGUCCACCAGCCAUCAUAUAUCUUGGAUCAGUACAACGAAAGGACCCCAAGCGAAGCAUGGCUGGACACGGAAUUUUUACCCUACAGCACCUCUCUUCAGCAUCAAACUUCAAUGUUUUUUGGCCCAAAAUUCAUAUCCUCCAAGCUCUAUCAUCUAAGUCCCAUUGAGGAUCUUGAA
rnacentral:misc_RNA from 1 species